CAUAAUAUAUCUACACCACUCGUUCCAACGUGUUUCUACCCAUGGAUAUAAUGACUACAUUUUCUCAGUCCAUUAUUAACUAAUAAACACAAAAUAUGAAUAAAUGUAAGAAACUACAAGAGGAAAUUUUGAGAAAGGUAUUGGACAUGGCUCAGACAUUUAGUUAGGCCAACACAUUGUCUUCAUCUACAAGACACCCUAUGUUCUUAAACAUUGUUCUUUCAUAUUGGAAGAUGUUGCGUGUCUGAUAGAUUUGUUUGCAAGUUGAACAUGCUUUCGGUCGUUGCACUCGUGGAGGCACCGAUUGACUUGGAGAUCAUGUCUGUCAUCUCAUUAUGGGCAUCUUGCUCCCCCAUCUGUCUUGAGGUAGCUUGUGUCUUAAGCGG
rnacentral:lncRNA from 1 species